GUAGGCCUCAAAUAAU
rnacentral:rRNA from 3 species